CCUACGGGGGGCAGCAGUCGAGAAUCAUUCACAAUGGGGGAAACCCUGAUGGUGCGACGCCGCGUGGGGGAAUGAAGGUCUUCGGAUUGUAAACCCCUGUCAUGUGGGAGCAAAUUAAAAAGAUAGUACCACAAGAGGAAGAGACGGCUAACUCUGUGCCAGCAGCCGCGGUAAUACAGAGGUCUCAAGCGUUGUUCGGAAUCACUGGGCGUAAAGUGUGCGUAGGCGGUUUCGUAAGUCGUGUGUGAAAGGCGCGGGCUCAACCCGCGGACGGCACAUGAUACUGCGAGACUAGAGUAAUGGAGGGGGAACCGGAAUUCUCGGUGUAGCAGUGAAAUGCGUAGAUAUCGAGAGGAACACUCGUGGCGAAGGCGGGUUCCUGGACAUUAACUGACGCUGAGGCACGAAGGCCAGGGGAGCGAAAGGGAUUAGAUACCCCAGUAGUC
rnacentral:rRNA from 1 species